rnacentral:rRNA from 1 species
AAACUGUCAUUCUUGAGUGCAGAAGAGGAGAGUGGAAUUCCAUGUGUAGCGGUGGAAUGCGUAGAUAUAUGGAAGAACACCAGUGGCGAAGGCGGCUCUCUGGUCUGCAACUGACGCUGAGGCUCGAAAGCAUGGGUAGCGAACAGGAUUAGAUACCCUGGUAGUCCAUGCCGUAAACGAUGAGCGCUAGGUGUUGGGGACUUUCCGGUCCUCAGUGCCGCAGCAAACGCAUUAAGCGCUCCGCCUGGGGAGUACGACCGCAAGGUUGAAACUCAAAGGAAUUGACGGGGGCCCGCACAAGCGGUGGAGCAUGUGGUUUAAUUCGAAGCAACGCGAAGAACCUUACCAGGUCUUGACAUCCUGUGCUACACCUAGAGAUAGGUGGUUCCCUUCGGGGACGCAGAGACAGGUGGUGCAUGGCUGUCGUCAGCUCGUGUCGUGAGAUGUUGGGUUAAGUCCCGCAACGAGCGCAACCCUUGUCUUUAGUUGCCAUCAUUAAGUUGGGCACUCUAAAGAGACUGCCGGUGACAAACCGGAGGAAGGUGGGGAUGACGUCAAGUCAUCAUGCCCCUUAUGACCUGGGCUACACACGUGCUACAAUGGGCAGUACAACGAGAAGCGAACCCGCGAGGGUAAGCGGAUCUCUUAAAGCUGUUCUCAGUUCGGACUGCAGGCUGCAACUCGCCUGCACGAAGCUGGAAUCGCUAGUAAUCGCGGAUCAGCACGCCGCGGUGAAUACGUUCCCGGGCCUUGUACACACCGCCCGUCACACCAUGGAAGUCUGCAAUGCCCAAAGUCGGUGGGAUAACCUUUAUAGGAGUCAGCCGCCUAAGGCAGGGCAGAUGACUGGGGUGAAGUCGUAACAAGGUAGCCGUAGGAGAACCUGCGGCUGGAUCACCUCCUUUCUAAGGAA